UGUCCCCCUCCCUCGCCUCCCGCCCUCUCUCAUUUGCGCCUUCAAGCAGUCCGGGGGCGGAGGAGGCUUUUAAAACAAAACACAAAACAAGAUCUUACAGAGGCCGAGGCCCGCGGGAGCCGGAGCGCCGAGGGGUCUGCAGGAGGCGCCCCUCCGGCCGGCGGCGCCCCGGGCUCCCGCCUCCCCGCCCGCCGCACCUGGGCGUCCGCGGGGCGCGCGGCGAGGGCCUGGCGCCCUCUGCCGGGUCCCCGGGCCGCCCUCCGGGCCUCCACCUGCGGCCGCCGCGGAGCCGAACGCACGGGCAGGCCGGACCCUCCGCGGCGGCCUGCGGCAGCCGAGGUCCACAAGCGGCCGGCCUAGCCCCGGACUUGCGUUGGGAGGACUUCGCUGUUCCGCAGCUGGAAGCGACGCCAGGACUCGGUCGGGGAAAAGACCUGGACUCCAGACUGUUAAGAGGACCUCGUAUGCGCUCCUGGGGAGGAUACCGCGUCUGUACAUUGUAUCCUGUGAGUUUUUAUUUUUGAGGAUUUGCGAGUUCAUUUUUUCUUGAAGGAAGAAAAAGAAUAAUCUCACAAUGCAAUAUUGUGCAGAAGAAAUGAAGAGAUAUUUUCUAAAGUUUUUCAUGUGCCGUUUUCUGGAGUGCUUUCCUAAAGACUUAUUUCAUUGGAUACCUGAUGAAAACCAAGGAAAUAGGAGCUGCUUCUUGCAGAAGGGAAGCAGACCUACA
rnacentral:lncRNA from 1 species